rnacentral:rRNA from 1 species
GAUGAACGCUGGCGGCGUGCCUAAUACAUGCAAGUCGAGCGAACGGACGAGAAGCUUGCUUCUCUGAUGUUAGCGGCGGACGGGUGAGUAACACGUGGAUAACCCACCUAUAAGACUGGGAUAACUUCGGGAAACCGGCGCUAAUACCGGAUGAUAUUUUGAACCGCAUGGUUCAAAAGUGAAAGACGGUCUUGCUGUCACUUAUAGAUGGAUCCGCGCUGCAUUAGCUAGUUGGUAAGGUAACGGCUUACCAAGGCAACGAUGCAUAGCCGACCUGAGAGGGUGAUAGGCCACACGGGAACUGAGACACGGUCCAGACUACUACGGGAGGCAGCAGUAGGGAAUCGUCCGCAAUGGGCGAAAGCCUGACGGAGCAACGCCGCGUGAGUGAUGAAGGUGUUCGGAUCGUAAAACUCUGUUAUUAGGGAAGAACAUAUGUGUAAGUAACUGUGCACAUCUUGACGGUACCUAAUCAGAAAGCCACGGCUAACUACGUG